AGAGUCGGCUGAGCAGUCGCUGUUUUAUCGUAAUGAUAAGACAGAGGAAAGUCCGGGCUCCAUAGGGCAGGGCGCCAGGUAACGCCUGGGAGGCGCGAGCCUACGGAAAGUGCCACAGAAAAUAUACCGCCCUGCACCUAAAUUACCUGAAGAAAUGGAGCGCUCCGUUUUUUCAGGAAAUUUAGGUGCAGGGUAAGGGUGAAAAGGUGCGGUAAGAGCGCACCGCGUCUCUGGUAACAGAGGCGGCAGGGAAAACCCCGCCCGGAGCAAGAUCAAAUAGAGGGACAAACGCGCGGCCCGCGCGGUUCCUGGGUAGAUUGCUUGAGUUGCAGGGUAACUUGCAACCUAGAUGAAUGGCUGUUCAAGACAGAACCCGGCUUACAGGCUGGCUCUUUCA
rnacentral:RNase_P_RNA from 1 species